rnacentral:rRNA from 1 species
UACGUAGGCAGCGAGCGUUGUUCGGAGUUACUGGGCGUAAAGAGUGCGUAGGCGGUUUUCCAAGUUUGGUGUGAAAUCUCCCGGCUUAACCGGGAGGGUGCGCCGAAAACUGGAAGGCUAGAGUGUGGGAGAGGUAAGCGGAAUUCCUGGUGUAGCGGUGAAAUGCGUAGAUAUCAGGAGGAACACCGGCGGUGUAGACGGCUUACUGGACCAUAACUGACGCUGAGGCACGAAAGCGUGGGUAGCAAACAGG